GACAGAGGGUGCAAACGUUGUUCGGAAUUACUGGGCGUAAAGCGAGUGUAGGCGGUCUGAAAAGUCAGGUGUGAAAGCCCCGGGCUCAACUCGGGAAGUGCACUUGAAACUGCCAGGCUAGAGUGUCGGAGAGGUUGGUGGAAUUCUCGGUGUAGAGGUGAAAUUCGUAGAUAUCGAGAGGAGCACCGGUGGCGAAGGCGGCCAACUGGACGAACACUGACGCUGAGACUCGAAAGCGUGGGGAGCAAACAGG
rnacentral:rRNA from 1 species